rnacentral:rRNA from 1 species
GUCUAGCGAGACUGCCAGUGAGUAAACUGGAGGAAGGUGGGGGAGUGACGUCAAAUCAUCAUGCCCCUUAUGACCUGGGCUACAAACGUGAUACAAUGGCUGAAACAAAGGGCAGCGAAGCAGUGAUGUGAAGCGAAACCCAAAAAAGCAGUCUCAGUUCGGAUUGAAGUCUGCAACUCGACUUCAUGAAGUCGGAAUCGCUAGUAAUCGCGAAUCAGAACGUCGCGGUGAAUACGUUCUCGGGGUUU